rnacentral:tRNA from 4 species
GCGGAAGUAGCUCAGGGGUAGAGCAUCGCCUUGCCAAGGCGAGGGUCGCGGGUUCGAAUCCCGUCUUCCGCUCCA